rnacentral:rRNA from 1 species
GAUGAACGCUGGCGGCGUGCCUAAUACAUGCAAGUCGAGCGAACAGAUGAGGAGCUUGCUCCUCUGACGUUAGCGGCGGACGGGUGAGUAACACGUGGAUAACCUACCUAUAAGACUGGGAUAACUUCGGGAAACCAGAGCUAAUACCGGAUAAUAUAUUGAACCGCAUGGUUCAAUAGUGAAAGACGGUUUUGCUGUCACUUAUAGAUGGAUCCGCGCCGCAUUAGCUAGUUGGUAAGGUAACGGCUUACCAAGGCAACGAUGCGUAGCCGACCUGAGAGGGUGAUCGGCCACACUGGAACUGAGACACGGUCCAGACUCCUACGGGAGGCAGCAGUAGGGAAUCUUCCGCAAUGGGCGAAAGCCUGACGGAGCAACGCCGCGUGAGUGAUGAAGGUCUUCGGAUCGUAAAACUCUGUUAUUAGGGAAGAACAAAUGUGUAAGUAACGAUGCACGUCUGGACGGUACCUAAGCAGAAAGCCACGGCUAACUACGU